GUUCCACCUCUUCCCAUUCCGAACAGAGAAGUUAAGCCCAAUAGCGUCGAUGGUACUGCACUUGUGUGGGAGAGUAGAUAGCCGCCGUUU
rnacentral:rRNA from 1 species